UGUGAACCUGAUCUAAUCAGGAAGCAGAUCUUCCGGGAAAUAUAAAAGUCCUAGCAAUGAAGCGCCUCAGACAUGGUUAACUUCUCUUUAGUGUCAGUUUCUAUUAUACUUAACAACAUCUUAACGUUGAUAUGAGGUAAUAAAAACAGCAAUGGAGCAGUGGUGGCUCAUGUCUGCAAUCCCAGCACUCAGGAGGCUGAAGCAGGAGGAUCAAAAUUUGAAGCUGUCUCAGCUACGUCUAAGGCCUUGAAGCCUGACAAUUUGAGUUCGAUCACCCAGACCCACACAGUAGAAGGGGAGAAACAACACCGGCGAGCUGUCCUCUGGCGUUCACACACUCAUGGUGGCAUAUGGGACCCCACACACAAACGUAACCAAAAAUUAAUAGAAAUUAGGCCAAACACAGGCUUCACAUGACCUGGGCAUGGUUAAUAAAUGCUGGGGUCUCAUUAACCCAUUUGAGCUGGACUCCUCUAUAAAAGAAAACCUAUGGGAUAUUUCUCAUCUUACAGAGAAGAAAAGUUGAGGCAUAGAGAGGUUAAGAAACCUGCCUAAGGUCACACAGCUAUGACGUUAGUGGCAGAGGGCAGCAAGUCCAGAGGAUAAGGAGCAAGGGCAUUUAAUUAAGACAAGUUGGGGUUGACCAGCAGCAGAGAAAGCACGCAAGGCUGUAAGGAAGAGGCUCUACCCUGAAACGUCUGGGAAAGAAGGAAACCAGGUCAAGCAGUGCUGAGCAGUCCACAGGUGGGGUUCAGCACAAUCAUUUGUCAAACGACACAGCUGUACCCUGGGCCUCCCUAGUAAUACUAUCCAGGGAUUGUGGGCUCCGGGCCUCUUGGAUCUGGUGCCCAAUUGCCUCCUCCAAUUUCAGUCCAGGAAGCAUUGCUAGCCUGGCCUCACAGGUCCUCCAGAGACAGCCUGAGUGGUAACUGGGACUCACCUUCACCUCGGCAGAAGGAGGCCCCUGUCUUGCUCAAUUCUGUGCCACGCCCUUCCUGAACCCUGAGGCAGAGACCAUAUCCUGAUUGCUUUUACUUCCUCCACCUAGACAAGCCUGGCCGACCUCCAUCUGUCUCUAGACUGCUGAGUCAGGGGAAGCAGGCUGGGCAGCGGGGCACCCCGUUCCUUGGCACAGACAUUCUGCAAUUCCCAGGGUACUCUGCUGGCAGUCAGGGGUCCCUCCCUUGGCUUGAGUCUUCUCUUAAACAUUUUCAUGUACGUAUGCAAGAUUAUGCUGGACAGUUUUGCAUCUGACACCGACUAGAGUCGUUUUGAAAGAGAGAACCCCCGUGAGAAAAUGUCCCUGCCAGAUUGGCCUAUGGGUAAGGUUCCUGCCUUCAGGUUUUUGCCUUGAGUUCCUGCCCUGGCUUCCCUGGAUGAUGAACUACAAACUCUGUGAGAUGAAAUAAACCCUUCCUUCCCCAGAUUUGCUUUUUUGGUAGUGGUGUUUUAUCACAGCAAUAAACUCCUGAGACAACAAUUAAAAAAAAUUAUUUGAAAAGCAGGACCUUUGUGGCACAUGAAUGUAACCAAAACUUGCAAAGCUGAGACAGGAGGAUUACAAAUUUGCGGCCGAUCUAGACUACAUAGUGGGACCAUAUCAUACUGGCUCAUACCUGUAAUCCCAGAACUUGAGAAGGAUGAGUCAGAGGCCAGCCUGAGUGGGCCAAGUGGUGUAUUCCAGGCCAGCCAGGUGCCCCUAAUCCCAGCACUCAGGUGGACCUCUGAGUCUGAGGCCAGUGUGAUCUUCAGAGAGGGGUCAGGACCGCCAGGGCUACAAAGAAACUCUGUCCUGGGGGGUGGGGGGGAUGUACGGAGAGAAACUUAAAAGUCUAUCAUGCGGGGUUGGGGAUUUAGCUCAGUGGUAGAGCGCUUACCUAGGAAGCGCAAGGCCCUGGGUUCGGUCCCCAGCUCCGAAAAAAAAGAACAAAAAAAAAAAAAAAAAAAAAAAAAAAAAAAGUCUAUCAUGCAUCACUUCUCCUGCCCAGGCUAGAGGGAACCUCUGUUCUGCCCCCAGGCUAGAGAGAACCUCUGGUCUGCUUUGGUAUCCUUUCUGAGGACACAGUGAGACUGCCCCCACAUGGCCGUGUGCCUUCUGUGUUGCUUCACUGUUUGCAAUCGAGUUUGUUUUUCUAGUGCUGCUGACAGGGGGCCAUGGCUUCUUACAUGCUAAGUGCACAGCACAGCCUGAACUGCAGCCCCAGGCGGCUAAGGGCUGUUGUCUUUCUCUUCAGAGAGCCAGGCAUGGUGACACACGCCUUUUGUUCCAGAACUUAGGAAGUAGAGACAAGCAGAUCUAUGUGAGUUCGAGGCCAGCCUAGUCUACAGAGAGAGUUCCAGGACAGUUAGGGCUACACAGAGAGACCUUGUCUUGAGAAACCAAACUAACAAAUAACAAAUGAAUAAACGCAUGUUGCUGCAGGAGUUCAGAGGACAGCCAUGGGUAUCAAUCCUCUCACCUUCUUCCAUGUUUGGUAUAGGGUCUCAUACUGCACUUGUGUGCCUGGACAGGAGGCCCAGGAGCUUCCAGAGAUUCUCUUGACUCUACCUUCCAUCUCCCCAGAACUCCAGGAUUACAGAUGCUCAGACUUCACAUCUGGCUAUUCUGGUGACUCAAACUCAUGCACUUGCAUGGCAGCCCGGCCUAGAACUUAUCACAUAGCCCAGCAUGGCCUCGGACUUGUGAUACGUCUUGGGACUCAGACUUCCCAAGAGCUGAGAUUGCAGGUGUGAGCCACUGGGUUGGUUUUGGUUUCAGGUUUCUAACAGAGUAUCGCUGUGUAGUCCAGAUUGGCAGCAAAUUUGCAAUCCUCCUGCCUGAGUUUCCCAGGCUCUGGUCACAGGGACAUGCCACUAAAGCCCUGCUUUUUAGCAUUGUGAGGUUUCUCCCCAGCCCAGCCUUGAUGUCUCCACUGUCUGGCUCUGUCUCUUCUCCAUUUACUCUCAUGAUUUUUGUUUGGUUUUGAGACAGGGUUUCUCUAUGUAGCUUUGGCUGUCCUGGAACUCACUCUGUAGACCAGGCUGACCUCAAACUCAGAGAUCCACCUGCCUCUGUCUCUGCCUCUGCCUCCCAAGUUCUGGGACUUAAGGCACCAGUACCUCCUGCCUUCAUUUCGUCUCCUGUUGAUGGAUGUGGGGACACAUUUGGAUCUUGUACUAUAAACUUCAAAGGCACAAGAUCUGGCUUCCUCGGGGGUUUUUUGUUGUUUUUGGCUUUUUGUUUAUUUGGUUUUUUUUUUUAAAUCAUUCCUAACAUCUCAGCUCAGCAUGGGGUGGGGGGCAUUCACAACUGUAGCCUCAGCAUUCAGAAGGCUGAGACAGAUGGUGAGUUUGAGGCUAGCCUUGGCUACAUAAAGACUCUAUUUCAAAAAAAAUGUAUUGAGUAUGAUAGCACAUGCAAAGGCAGGUGAAUCUCUGUGAGUUCUAGGACAUCAUGGUCUACAAAGAGAGUUCUAGGCCAGCCAGAGCUGUAUCUCUCUCUCUCUCUCUCUCUCUCUCUCUCUCUCUCUCUCUCUCUCUCUCUCACAUGCGCGUGCGCACACACACACACACACACACACACACACACACACACAAACUUAAUGGCAGGAGUAGUAAGUGGCUCAAGGCUGUAUUUCCAGCAUUUGGGAGGCAGAGUCAAGAGGAUAAGAAGUUUCAAGCAAGCUUAGGCUAAUUUAAAUAACAAGUUUCAGGCUAGAGUCCACUGUACAGUGAGGUCCUAUCUCAACAAACAAAAAUCAGGGUCAGCAAGUUGCUUUAACAGGCAGAAGCUUUUCAGUCAAGUUUCACAACCUGAAUUUGAUUCCAGGGACCUGCAUGGUAAAAGGAAAGAGUCAUCCUCUGACUUACACAUACACACACAUACACACACACAAAAUUCACACACACACACACACACACCACAUCAUACCUAUACACAUACCCACCACACAUAUACGCAUAUACAUGAACACAUAACACACACACAGGCACAGGCAAACACAUACAUCAGACACAUACGCACUAUAUGCACACCACAUAUACAUCACACACACACACUCACUAUACCACAUACACACCAAACAAACACACAAUUCACAUACCACAUACACACCAAACACACAUAAUUUACACACUCACACACACCAAACAGAUAGACACCAUACACAUACCACACACAUACACUCACACAUACAACAUCACAUACACAAUACACACACCAUGUAUAACACAUACAACAUAGACCACACACACACAACACACAUAUAUACACACUCACACACACUUACAUAUACCACACCACACACCCUGACAUAAACAUACCACAUAAAACACAUACACACUGACACAUACACAUACAUCACAUAUACCACACACACCAUACACAGCAUACACACACACACUCAUACAUAUGCCACACACUCUCACACACAUACACACACCACAUUUUAUACCACACACACUCACACAAACACACAUACCACACAUACUACACACAAGCACACACACACAUGUGCACACACACUGAAUAAAGUUUAAUUAAAUAUUUUUAACAAAUCAUAAAAUUCAUACAGGAAGCAGAGAGUGUAAAUUAAAUCUAGAGGUAUCAGGACAUAGCUGUGUUAGUAGAUCUUUCGUGCCCCAUGCAGGGAGCCCUAGGCACUAACCCCAAUCCUACAUAAACCAAAUUAAACCGAAUGUCAUGGCACAUGCCUAUGAUUCACAACUUGGGAGGAAGAAGAGGUGUAGUGAGAACUCUGGGAUUUUGGUUUCUUUAAAAACACAGAAAUAUUAUAAGAAUAUGGCUUCAUUUCAAUCCCAGGUUUGGGGCUGCUUCUAGCCAAGCCCGCUCAGUCAGUAAGGUCUCGAGGGAAGGAGUAAGGAUUAAAGACAGAAAAGACAAUUAGACAACAUUGUAGUAUGACUCCAGCAAGCUCUGAAGCAAGUUUAUUCUUUCCCACACUACUUUUAUACCAUGCUAAGUACAUGCAAGACAUUGGGUCAGUUCUUGGUCAAAGACAAACAAGGCAUAAACAAAAGUCCCCUGGAUCACUGUAUCCGGGGACUUAUCAAGAAGAUUGAGAUACAAGGAAUGCAUCCUCAACUGUAUUUAUCUUAAGCCUACUUUCUUGUCUUAGCCCAAUGUCAAAUAUUCUUGCUGAUAACCUUGAAGCAUCACCAAGAGCUCUCAUAUCUCUGUCUUUUUUCUUUUAUAAACAAGACUGCAUCUGUCUUAGGUUGUUCUGACAAGAAUGCCUUAAUUACCCAUCAUUGAAAAUGUGUUAUCCAAGGUAAUGCACAUAUGUCUUAGGUUGGUAAGGCUCUGUGCAGAAUCUCACAGUCACUGACUGCCAGCCUGUUAAACUAGUGGUUCUGUCUGGGGGAUACACUUUUAAGUUUCAAGCCACGUAUUUUGGUCUCUUAUCAAUGCUGUUAAAGGCAAGCUAUAUCAAAAUGGACAGGAAUAAAAGUAUUCCAGGCACAAGAAAGUUUAACAUGAUCAAAGUAUGUAAGCCAUUCUUUUUCUUUUACAGUUUUAUUUAUUUUAUAUUUAUAUGUUUUAUAUUUAUAUAAGUAUACUGUAGCUGACUUCAGACACACCAGAAGAUGGCAUCAGAUCUCAUCACAAGAUGGUUGUGAGCCACCAUGUGGUUGCUAGGAAUUGAACUCAGGACCUCAGGAAGAGCAGUCAGUGCUCUUGACCUCUGAGCCAUCUGUCCAGCCCUGUACACGCCAUUCUUGAAGCUUGACCAAGAUGAAAUACUGAACUUAAGUCAUAAAUAAUUUUAUCAGCAACAUCCACAUCAAAACUCAGCGAAGCAGCAUUCAUUAAAUUCAUAAUCUCAAUAUGCAAAGUUAAAAUAUCCAGAGAGGUGUUAGAAUUAUGCCAAAUACCCUGUGAGUUUCUUUGAAUUUUCUCCCAAUUAUAGUGACUGUAAAUUUUAGAAGUGACACAAAUCCAUUGGUAUUUAGCAUGACACUCAAGAUGGCUUCUUACUCUGAAACUCUGAACCUCCUCUCCAGUAAUUUGAAUAAUAUCAUAAGGAGCAUCAGUCCAUUGUUCCAAGCGCCUAUCUAAAUACUCAGAGUAUUAGUAACAUUUUUUGCUAAAUGAUUAAUAAAAGGGACUAUCUUAACUUCUUGCCUCAAAACAGAAGCAAUGACGUGCUAGCUAUUAAUGUAACCAAAGCUUCCUUACUGGUAAUAAUCAAACCCACUACCCUCUUGCUUCUACUUAAAGUCUGACUCACUUCUUCCAAAAUGUGUAAGCCUUUUUCAGGAUACCAGGUUUCAGGUAAAUUUACAGGGAUCAUAAUAAAAGCUGUUGGUGUACUACCAUUACAGUGCAGAAACACAAUUGGACAAAAGACAAAACAAGAAACACUGAACUCAUAUUCAGAGCCUACAACAAAGGAAACAUUCCUAAUUAGUAAAAGAUUAUGUGGUGUAAUUCAGGAUGUCACAUUUACCUUAACCCUAGAAACAGUUCCAUUCUUAGCCACAACAAACAUAACAUCAUUCAAGGCAGCUGUCAAUUUCCAAAUAUGUCUUUGAAAAUGCCCAGAACCAGCCCUCCCAAUGCCCACUGUCAUUUCCUUUCUUCCAAUAUUGGAUUGUUUUCCAGACCAGCCCCAUGAUUGAGUCAGAAUUACUGGUCACAUUAAAGGAAAGAGAAGGAUCAUUCUAACAACUUCUCUAUUUGAUUAAUUUUUCAAAGGCAGUUUCCACAGUCUCCAUGUCUGGGAUACAGGCAAGCAAAGGUGGGUCAGAAACACAGGCCCAGUACAGCUUAUUUGUCACCACUGUCAGGGCACUCGGCAAGCUCAUGGUUAGCAUCAUUCUUUGUCCCAGCAACAGCGUGUCUCACCAAUUGCUUUGGCAGCCACCACACUGCUUUAGCAUCCUGCAGGAAAAAGACACAAACAUGCCUUCUUCCCCAUAUUAAUCCCCAAUCAGGACUAUGCCAUAUGCCAGUAAGUGGAUCCUUCCAUAUCAUCUAGGCAUAAGAAUGCUGAGUUGUAGGGCACCAUAGACAUCAGCAGCAGAGAGGUCCUUAGCGUCCAAGGUCAAAAAAUUCAAAAUAGAAUUCUGUGGUGAAAGAGUAUACAACUCUCCCCUCUUCUGUUUUAUGUAACUGACUUUUUUAGCGCUCCAUGAGCUUGUUCCAGAAUUCUCUGUCCUUGAGGACACGUGCAUUAUAAAUAUAGCUAAUAGGGGUCUGUCUGACAACAGGAGUAGACUCAUGACUUUGAGACCUAGUAAAAGCUACCGGCUUGGGUUGAGAGGCACAGAACACAUUUUUCUCAGAAGACUAGAGAUACAGAUUGAACAUAUGUUUUUAGCAUGAUGAGAAGCAUCUUUAAGUUUGUAUUCAGAAGACCACCAAAGGGGAAUUAAAAUCUCGAGCUUGUGAUUGAACUGUAAACGGCCAAUGUUCCACUCGAUUUAUAUAUAUUUAACCAUAAUUUUUAAAAGUUUCUUUUGCAAUAUCAGAGCACAACCAUAAUUAUGGAAGGCAAAACCAAUUUUUAACAGUGUAAACGAUCCAGUCUCUCUAAAAAUCAAUACCAAGGGCAUUAUUUUCACGUUACAAAGUUUGACUGCCUGUUCUUGUACACAGAUGCAUGAUGGGGCAUCUUUUAAUACCUCAUUAAAGAAACAUCGUUUUAAAUCCUACCUUUUAUAAGUCUGGUUCCUAGGACAGGAAUUGCAUAAAAUAUUAUCCCAAUUUAAAGGUAUCUUUAGAGACAUAUUUCCCUGGGGUGGCUCACACCGUAUGUUGUUGCCCAAAAUGACUCCAACUUUGAGUUUCCAGUUUUAAGCCAACUUUCUGUUACAAAAGUUACAAAAUUUUAACCAUACUCAAUAACUUAUAAGCCAAUAAUCUAUAAUCAAGACAUGCAGAACAUAGUCAUACAUUUAGGACCAGUCAGAAACAAACAUGAAGUGGCUACACACAUUUACCUAUUUAGUCCAGACAGACAAAUUUUUCAUAUUUUUUUCUAGCUGUAAUUUCAAGGAAGGAAUGCCUUGUCACCUGCUGAACCCAAUAAUCAUAAUCACAGAGAUUUUUGUAGGAGAAACAGCCAUUGUCUCCCUUACCUGAGGAGCUGCUGGCCCCUUUAAGAGUGAUUUAUGAAUCACGGCAACAAUCAAGCAAGGAAACGAGACCACAGGUAUAAAUUAACAGACAUGGACAGACUGGAGCACCAAGGAUAGACAUUAGACAGAGAGGGAAGAACUAGAUGAUGUCCCACCAAAGGGACCCAGCACCAGGACUAGGCAUUUCCCCAGGGGAGCCAGAGAGGAGGCGGGAUGUCUCCUGAGCUCCUCCUGACCUUAGGAGAGGUCUGAAACAGCUUUCAUUCACGUUCCUUCUCUUUCACCGAAGUGUCCCUGGACAGUGGAGAUGACUGCUUUUCUGAAACCCACUUGUCCCUCUCAUGUCCAGGGCCUAAACUCUCUCUAGUUGAAAUCCAAAGGGUAAAAGCAUUUAUGGGAACUUUUUCAGGACCAUGUAUUGGAUAGGUAGUAACCUUUUACCCUCUCUCACACCUUCCCCCAUGUCUGCAAAUUUAUCAUACCUUCCUCAGGGAACCAGGGACAAAAUUUCUUCUAUAAAAAGCAAAAACCGGAGGGUUGGGGAUUUAGCUCAGUGGUAGAGCACUUACCUAGCAAGCCCAAGGCCCUGGGUUCGGUUCCCAGCUCCGAAAAAAAAAGAAAAAAGAAAAAAGAAAAAAGAAAGAAAAAACCGGGUAGGCCAUUUUUUACUUAUCUUCCCUUCUCUAGAUUUUAGCAUAUCUCUAAGCAUAUGAACAAAAAGCAUUCUACCAUUACCCUGUUCUGUUUUUACAGGGCUUACUCACUGCUGGCCCAAAUUUCCUUUAUUUUCCUGAGCACUUGCUUCCAGUUCCCAAGGUGUCCUUCACUGACCCUUUCCUACUCAAGCCCUCAUUGUGGUACCACCUGACCCAGCUCACUCUGUCAGUCAACAAGGUCUCGAGGGAAAGAGUAAGGAUUAAAGACAGAAAAGACAAUUAGACAACAUUGUAGCAUAACUCCAGCAAGCUCUGAAGCAAGUUUAUUAUUUCCCACACUGCUUUUACUCCAUGCUAAGUACACGCAAAACAUUGGGUCAGUUCUUGGUCAAAGACAAACAAGGCAUAAACAAAAGUCCCCUGGAUCACUGUAUCUGAGGACUUAUCAAGAAGAUCAAGAUACAAGGAACGCAUCCUCAGCUGUAUUUAUCUUGAGCCUACUCUCUUGUCCUAGCCCAAUGUCAAAUAUUCUUGCUGGUUUCCUUGAAGCGGCACCAAGAGCUCUCCACUUGCUUCGAACUGUCCACAGCAGCUGACUAUGAUUUGCCUCAUGCUCUAGCAGAAUCGUGGUUUUGCCAGCAGAUAAUUUCUAUGACUGUGUGAUGUUUGGAAUUCUGGGAACUUUUCAGAGGAUACAUAAAUGCUAAGGCCUUGAGAGGUGGGGUGGUGGUUGGGGGUUGUUUUAGGGAAGUUGUUUGCAGUUUGUUAAUAGCCAUGAUCAAGAAAGAAACAAAAAGGAAGAAAUUAGAUUCGGGGAUUUUCCUACUCCCUCCCUCCCCUCUAUCCUGCUUUCUCUCCUAUCUAGUGUUAGGGGUGAAACGGUGGGAGGAGACAAAGGGUUGGAAGAGAAGAAGCCACAGUGUAGCAAAGAGCAAUGCAAAAAGAGGAUCAGGAGCUCAAGGUUAUCUUUAGCUACAUAAGGACUUUGAAGUCAGCCUGGGCUACAUGAAGUUCUGUUUUUAGAAAAUCUGGGCCUUGUGGCACAGACUCAUAUUCCCAGCCAUAAGGAAAGCUGAGGCAGAAUGGUUACAAGCUCAACGCCCGCCUCAGCUCUGUGUCUAGCCAGUUCCAGCUCCAUUUCAAAAUAUAUAAGCAGUGGUGCACACCUUUAAUCCUGGCACUCAGGAGGCAGAGGCAAUCACAUCUUUGGGAAUUCAAGGCCAACCUGGUCUAUAGAGUGAACUCCAGGACAGGCAGGGCUGCACAGAAGAGACCCUGUCUCAUAAAAACUAAACCAAACAACUGAACAAGCUAUCACUGUAUAGCCCAAGGCUGGCUUCAAAGACAAGGUCUUUCUGCCUCAGGCUGCUAAUUGCUGGGGUCACAGGCUUGUAUCACACCUCCCACUGGUGGCUUUUUUUUUUAAUUUUUAAAAUUUUUUUUAUUUAUUUUAUGUGAUUACACUGUUGCUGUCUUCAGACACACCAGAAGAGGGCAUUGGAUCCCGUUACAGAUGGUUAUGAGCCAUCAUGUGGUUGCUGGAAAUUGAACUCGGGAAGAACAGCCAGUGCUCUUAACUGCUGAGCCGCCACUCCAGCCCACUGGUGGCAAUUUUUAAAAGGGCUCAGUUCACAUUGCUGUCCAGCAGAGGGCGCCAAAAGAAGGGCAAGAAGCUGAGACUGUCAGACAGACAAAUGGAUUGUGGACGCCAUAUCCCCUCCCUGGGUGCACAACAAAUCUGUACAAGACAGGGCUGGGAAAGACUGCAGCCUUUAGUUCUCUUCUGGUUUUGAGAUUUAUGCAUAGCCACAAUCCAACAGGAACGCCAGAAGGAGGAGGGCUCUGUGCUGGGGACCAGAGGCCUGACCAGGCAGCCUCGGCCACCGUUAAGCUUUUCCUCUCUAGCUGAUUGACCUAGGGGUCCCACCUGUUAGGAUGUGGCCUGGCUGCUCUCCCACCCUGUACUCAGGUGGUUUAUGGAUGGCCCCAGGUUCAGAAACUCAAAACAUAAAACAGCCUCCAGGGCUAGAUGGCAUCUCCACAGAGACUCCCUCCUUCCCAGCCCUGUGGGAGAAACUGUUCAGGUCCAGAAAUGCUCAGUGACCCAUGCUGCCUCUGUAGGAGGCCAGAUCCAGCUGGAAUGGAGCCCAGAGCCCUCUGCCCACAGCUUACCAGGUGCAUCUGAAGGAAGAGAAGCCCAGGCCUAUCACUGUCAAUCAGUCAGACCUUCCUUUCUGCUCUCCCCAAAGUCUCACUUCCCUGUCUGUCCCCCAAGGCUGUCGGCAUCACUAGGACACAUACUUCCAUGUCCUUCCAGGCCUCUCCCUGUGCUUCAAAUCAAGCUGGAAGCUCUGUCCAUGACCUUCAAACCCCUGAAGAAAAGCCCCUCUACCAGGCGUGGUGGUGCAUGGCUUUAAUCCCAGCACACAGGAGGUAGAAGCAAGCAGAUCUCUGAGGCCAGCCUGGUCUAUAGAGUGAGCUCCAGGACACACAGGAAAACCCUGUCUCAGAAAAAAAAAGAAAGAAAGAAAGAAAAGAA